CCUACGGGAGGCAGCAGUGGGGAAUUUUGGACAAUGGGCGCAAGCCUGAUCCAGCAAUGCCGCGUGCAGGAUGAAGGCCUUCGGGUUGUAAACUGCUUUUGUACGGAACGAAACGGUCUGCUUUAAUACAGUGGGCUAAUGACGGUACCGUAAGAAUAAGCACCGGCUAACUACGUGCCAGCAGCCGCGGUAAUACGUAGGGUGCGAGCGUUAAUCGGAAUUACUGGGCGUAAAGCGUGCGCAGGCGGUUAUAUAAGACAGAUGUGAAAUCCCCGGGCUCAACCUGGGACCUGCAUUUGUGACUGUAUAGCUAGAGUACGGUAGAGGGGGAUGGAAUUCCGCGUGUAGCAGUGAAAUGCGUAGAUAUGCGGAGGAACACCGAUGGCGAAGGCAAUCCCCUGGACCUGUACUGACGCUCAUGCACGAAAGCGUGGGGAGCAAACAGGAUUAGAUACCCUGGUAGUCCACGCCCUAAACGAUGUCAACUGGUUGUUGGGUCUUCACUGACUCAGUAACGAAGCUAACGCGUGAAGUUGACCGCCUGGGGAGUACGGCCGCAAGGUUGAAACUCGAAAUGAAAUUGACGGCUGAGACGNGCGAGGACGACACGAGGGAGGAG
rnacentral:rRNA from 1 species